UGGGCUUCCCUGAGAUUAGCCCCAGGGCCCUGGGUGACAGGCCUGGGGUGGGGUUGGCAUGAGGGGCAGGGGCUGGGAGGCGCUUGGACAGUCUGGCCAUCAGGAUUGGUCCCAUGAGUGCAGAGAACGUGGGCCAAAGACUUUGUUCCUGAGAGGAGGAUGCUGGUGCCUCAGGCUCCAGGAAUGGGGGUCCUGCUGUGGGCCACUGGGACAGAUGCACAUGGGCCUCUGGCACGAGGCCAGGU